CUUGACAUCCAGCGAACUUUCCAGAGAUGGAUUGGUGCCUUCGGGAACGCUGAGACAGGUGCUGCAUGGCUGUCGUCAGCUCGUGUUGUGAAAUGUUGGGUUAAGUCCCGCAACGAGCGCAACCCUUAUCCUUUGUUGCUAGCGAUUCGGUCGGGAACUCAAAGGAGACUGCCGGUGAUAAACCGGAGGAAGGUGGGGAUGACGUCAAGUCAUCAUGGCCCUUACGAGUAGGGCUACACACGUGCUACAAUGGCGCAUACAAAGAGAAGCGACCUCGCGAGAGCAAGCGGACCUCAUAAAGUGCGUCGUAGUCCGGAUCGGAGUCUGCAACUCGACUCCGUGAAGUCGGAAUCGCUAGUAAUCGUGGAUCAGAAUGCCACGGUGAAUACGUUCCCGGGCCUUGUACACACCGCCCGUCACACCAUGGGAGUGGGUUGCAAAAGAAGUAGGUAGCUUAACCCUCGGGAGGGCGCUUACCACUUUGUGAUUCAUGACUGGGGUGAAGUCGUAACAAGGUAGGCGUAGCGAG
rnacentral:rRNA from 1 species